rnacentral:rRNA from 1 species
ACGCUGGCGGCAGGCUUAACACAUGCAAGUCGAACGGUAACAGGGAUUAGCUUGCUAAUCUGCUGACGAGUGGCGGACGGGUGAGUAAUGCUUGGGAAUCUGGCUUAUGGAGGGGGAUAACUACGGGAAACUGUAGCUAAUACCGCGUAAAAUCUUCGGAUUAAAGGGUGGGACUUUCGAGCCACCUGCCAUAAGAUGAGCCCAAGUGGGGUUAGGUAGUUGGUUAGGUAAAGGCUGACCAAGCCGACGAUCUCUAGCUGGUCUGAGAGGAUGACCAGCCACACUGGAACUGAGACACGGUCCAGACUCCUACGGGAGGCAGCAGUGGGGAAUAUUGCACAAUGGGGGGAACCCUGAUGCAGCCAUGCCGCGUGAAUGAAGAAGGCCUUCGGGUUGUAAAGUUCUUUCGGUGACGAGGAAGGUUGAUAGGUUAAUAGCCUAUCAAAUUGACGUUAAUCACAGAAGAAGCACCGGCUAACUCCGUGCCAGCAGCCGCGGUAAUACGGGGGGUGCGAGCGUUAAUCGGAAUAACUGGGCGUAAAGGGCACGCAGGCGGUGACUUAAGUGAGAUGUGAAAGCCCCGAGCUUAACUUGGGAAUUGCACUUCAUACUGGGUCGCUAGAGUACUUUAGGGAGGGGUAGAAUUCCACGUGUAGCGGUGAAAUGCGUAGAGAUGUGGAGGAAUACCGAAGGCGAAGGCAGCCCCUUGGGAAUGUACUGACGCUCAUGUGCGAAAGCGUGGGGAGCAAACAGGAUUAGAUACCCUGGUAGUCCACGCUGUAAACGAUGUCGAUUUGGGGAUUGGGCUUUGAGCUUGGUGCCCGUAGCUAACGUGAUAAAUCGACCGCCUGGGGAGUACGGCCGCAAGGUUAAAACUCAAAUGAAUUGACGGGGGCCCGCACAAGCGG